AUUGAACGCUGGCGGCAGGCCUAACACAUGCAAGUCGAGCGGAUGAAGAGAGCUUGCUCUCUGAUUUAGCGGCGGACGGGUGAGUAAUGCCUAGGAAUCUGCCUGGUAGUGGGGGAUAACGUUCCGAAAGGAACGCUAAUACCGCAUACGUCCUACGGGAGAAAGCAGGGGACCUUCGGGCCUUGCGCUAUCAGAUGAGCCUAGGUCGGAUUAGCUAGUUGGUGAGGUAAUGGCUCACCAAGGCUACGAUCCGUAACUGGUCUGAGAGGAUGAUCAGUCACAAUGGAACUGAGACACGGUCCAGACUCCGACGGGAGGCAGCAGUGGGGAAUAUUGGACAAUGGGCGAAAGCCUGAUCCAGCCAUGCCGCGUGUGUGAAGAAGGUCUUCGGAUUGUAAAGCACUUUAAGUUGGGAGGAAGGGCAGUAAGUUAAUACCUUGCUGUUUUGACGUUACCGACAGAAUAAGCACCGGCUAACUUCGUGCCAGCAGCCGCCGUAAUAC
rnacentral:rRNA from 1 species